UACGUAGGGUGCAAGCGUUGUCCGGAAUUAUUGGGCGUAAAGAGCUCGUAGGCGGUCUGUCGCGUCGGCUGUGAAAACCCGGAGCUCAACUCCGGGCCUGCAGUCGAUACGGGCAAACUGGAGUACUGCAGGGGAGACUGGAAUUCCUGGUGUAGCGGUGAAAUGCGCAGAGUAUCAGGGAGGGAACACCCGGUGGCGAAGGCGGGUCUCUGGGCAGUAACUGACGCUGGAGGAGCGAAAGCGUGGGGAGCGAACAGG
rnacentral:rRNA from 1 species